GGGUGAUGAGGUGACAGAUAGACAGGGUGAUGGGGUGACAGAUAGACAGGGUGAUAGGGUUGCAGAUGGACAGGGUGAUGAGUUGAAAGAUAGACAUGGUGAUGGGGUGACAGAUACACAGGGUGAUGGGGUGACAGAUAGAGAGGGUGAUGGGGUGGCAGAUAGACAGUGUGAUGAGGUGACAGAUAGACAGGGUGAUGGGCUGACAGAUAGACAUGGUGAUGAGGUGACAUAUAGACAGGGUGAUGGGUUGAUGGGGUAACAGAUAGACAGGGUGAUGGGG